rnacentral:rRNA from 1 species
CACGUAGGGGGCGAGCGUUGUCCGGAAUCAUUGGGCGUAAAGAGCUCGUAGGCGGUUCGAUAAGUCGGACGUGAAAUCUCCACGCUCAACGUGGAGGGGCCGUUCGAUACUGUCGUGACUCGAGUCCGGUAGGGGAGUGUGGAAUUCCCGGUGUAGCGGUGAAAUGCGCAGAGAUCGGGAGGAACACCCGUAGCGAAGGCGGCACUCUGGGCCGGUACUGACGCUGAGGAGCGAAAGCGUGGGGAGCAAACAGG